AUAGCAUGAGGGAUCUUAGGGUCAAAAUUUGGGUCUUUAGUAUCUGUUCUAAUCAGUUUCAUAUCUGAUAUGUGGGACAAUGACUCACACGAUAUUAAAUUUAUUUCUUGAGGGGGAGAGACCACUAUAGUAGCUUGCUAUGGGGUCUCUCGUGUGUCGCCUUUGUGUUGCACUACUGCAUUGACCUGGUACACCUCAC